AUUGAACGCUGGCGGAAUGCUUUACACAUGCAAGUCGAACGGCAGCACGGACUUCGGUCUGGUGGCGAGUGGCGAACGGGUGAGUAAUACAUCGGAACGUGCCCAGUCGUGGGGGAUAACGUAGCGAAAGCUACGCUAAUACCGCAUACGAUAUAAGGAUGAAAGCGGGGGAUCGCAAGACCUCGCGCGAUUGGAGCGGCCGAUGGCAGAUUAGGCAGUUGGUGGGGUAAAGGCUCACCAAGCCGACGAUCUGUAGCUGGUCGGAGGGGACGACCAGCCACACUGGGACUGAGACACGGCCCAGACUCCUACGGGAGGCAGCAGUGGGGAAUUUUGGACAAUGGGCGCAAGCCUGAUCCAGCCAUUCCGCGUGCAGGAUGAAGGCCCUCGGGUUGUAAACUGCUUUUGUACGGAACGAAAAGGCUCUGGUUAAUACCUGGGGCUCAUGACGGUACCGUAAGAAUAAGCACCGGCUAACUACGUGCCAGCAGCCGCCGUAA
rnacentral:rRNA from 1 species